rnacentral:rRNA from 1 species
CCUACGGGAGGCAGCAGUAAGGAAUCUUCCGCAAUGGGCGAAAGCCUGACGGAGCAACGCCGCGUGGGCGAUGAAGGCCUUCGGGUCGCAAAGCCCUUUUCUGUGGGACGAUAAUGACGGUACCACAGGAAUAAGCCACGGCUAACUACGUGCCAGCAGCCGCGGUAAUACGUAGGAUGCAAGCGUUGUCCGGAUUUAUUGGGCGUAAAGAGUGCGUAGGCGGCUUCUUAAGUUGGGCGUGAAAUCCCCCGGCUAAACCGGGGAGGGUCGUCCUAAACUGGGGGGCUUGAGGGUAGAAGAGGAGAGCGAAAUUCCCGGUGUAGUGGUGAAAUGCGUAGAUAUCGGGAGGAACACCGGUGGCGACGGCGGCUCUCGAGGCUAUUCCUAACGCUGAGGCACGAAAGCGGGGGGAGCGAACGGAAUUAGAUACCCCG